rnacentral:rRNA from 1 species
GACGAACGCUGGCGGCGUGCUUAAUACAUGCAAGUCGAGCGAGGUUACUGUUUUGGAUCCCUUCGGGGUGAAGAAGCUUUAACCUAGCGGCGGACGGGUGAGUAACGCGUGGGUAACCUACCCCAAAGUCCGGGAUAACAGCGGGAAACCGCUGCUAAUACCGGAUGUCUUUACCUUGGGGCAUCUUGAGGUAAAGAAAGGCAACGCUUUGGGAUGGGCCCGCGUCCCAUUAGCUAGUUGGUGAGGUAACGGCUCACCAAGGCGACGAUGGGUAGCCGGCCUGAGAGGGUGGACGGCCACACUGGGACUGAGACACGGCCCAGACUCCUACGGGAGGCAGCAGUAGGGAAUAUUGCGCAAUGGACGGAAGUCUGACGCAGCGACGCCGCGUGAGCGAUGAAGGUCUUCGGAUCGUAAAGCUCUGUCCUUGGGGAAGAAGGCGAAAGCUUGACGGUACCCAAGAAGAAAGCCCCGGCUAACUACGUGCCAGCAGCCGCGGUAAUACGUAGGGGGCGAGCGUUGUCCGGAAUUACUGGGCGUAAAGGGUGCGUAGGCGGCCCUUUAAGUCGGAUGUGAAAGCCCGCGGCUUAACCGCGGAAUGGCAUUCGAAACUGGAGGGCUUGAGUGUCGGAGAAGGUAGUGGAAUUCCCAGUGUAGCGGUGAAAUGCGUAGAUUUUGGGGAGGAACACCAGUGGCGAAGGCGACUACCUGGACGAUAACUGACGCUGAGGCACGAAAGCUAGGGGAGCAAACAGG